AUGGAAAGACUGGGUUUCCCUGCAAGAUGGCGAGAUUGGAUCGCAGUGAUGCUCUCGUCAGCCUCCUCAUUGGUGUUGCUAAAUGGGGAGCCGGGCGACCACUUCUAGCACCUGCAAGGAUUAAGACAAGGAGACCCCCUCUCCCCCCUACUCUUUAUCCUUGCAAUCGACCCGCUUCAUCAUCUGCUUGCUGCUGCUUUAGACCUUGGGAUUUUGGCGCCUUUGCCAGGCUAA
rnacentral:rRNA from 1 species